rnacentral:misc_RNA from 1 species
GAAAUGUGGCAGUUAUAUUAAACCAAUUCCAGUAGCUUAAAAAUACUUUGUACAUAUGAGGGGAAAAAGAUGUGGCAGUAACUAACUGAAAGAUCUUCCUAAGCACCCGGCAAGAGAAACUGCAAUUUUUCUUUUUUUGGGAUAGAGAGAAAAUGCAUUAAUAAACAAUGUAAAAAGUACCAUUACCAUGCCAAAUAUUUUAC